rnacentral:rRNA from 1 species
UUUUAAUCGAGAUUUUGCCUUCGGGUACAAUUGAGACAGGUGGUGCAUGGUUGUCGUCAGCUCGUGUCGUGAGAUGUUGGGUUAAGUCCCCGCAACGAGCGCAACCCUUGUGUUUAGUUGCAAACAGGUCAAGCUGUGCACUCUAGACAGACUGCCGUGGACAAACCGGAGGAAGGUGGGGAUGACGUCAAGUCAUCAUGGCCCUUACGGCCUGGGCUACACACGUGCUACAAUGGUCGGUACAAAGGGUUGCCAAGCCGCGAGGUGGAGCUAAUCCCAUAAAACCGAUCGUAGUCCGGAUCGCAGUCUGCAACUCGACUGCGUGAAGUCGGAAUCGCUAGUAAUCGUGAAUCAGAAUGUCACGGUGAAUACGUUCCCGGGCCUU